rnacentral:rRNA from 1 species
UACGGAGGGUCCAAGUGUUAUCCGGAAUCAUUGGGUUUAAAGGGUCUGCAGGCGGUUUAAUAAGUCAGUGGUGAAAUCUGGUCGCUCAACGAUCAAACGGCCACUGCUACUGUUAAACUGGAAUCAUUAGGAAGUAACUAGAAUAUGUAGUGUAGCGGUGAAAUGCUUAGAUAUUACAUGGAAUACCAACUGCGAAGGCAGGUUACUACUAAUGUAUUGACGCUGAUGGACGAAAGCGUGGGUAGCGAACAGG